AAGGGAAAGAUGAAAGAACUAUAUCAAGCACUAAAAAGCAAAGACAAGCCCUUAUACUUUCUGCAUAAUGUAUUAACUAGAAAUACUUUACACAGAGAACUAUAGCCAAGUCCCCCAAAACCAGAUGAGCUACCCAAGAAUAGCUGAAAGAGCACACUCACCUACAUGGCAAAAUAGUGGGAAGAUUCAUGAGUAGCGGUGACAAGCCUACCAAGCCUGGUGAUAGCUGGUUGUCCAAGAUAGAAUCUUAGUUCAACUUUAAACUUACCCACAGAAUUACUUAAUUUCCCAGUAAGUUUAACUGUCAGUCUAAAGAGGGACAGCUCUUUAGACCCUAGGAAACAACCUUCCUACAGAGAGUAAAAAAUAUUACCACCAUAGUUGGCCCAAAAGCAACCACCAAUUAAGAAAGCAUUUAAGCUCAACAUCUAACUAUCUUAAAUUCUAAUCACUCUACUGAACUCCUAACAUCACAUUGGACUAAUCUAUUAUUUAAUAGAAGCAAUAAUGUCAAUAUAAGUAACAUGAAGACAUUCUCCAUUGCAUAAGCUUACAUCAGGCCAGAAUAACCCACUGACAGUUAACAGCCUAAUAUUAAUAAACGAUAUAAUAAGCACCCUAUUAUUUACACUGUUAACUCAACAAAGGCAUGCUCUAAGGAAAGUUUACAAAAAGUAAAAGGAACUCAGCAAAUCUUACCCUGCCUGUUUACCAAAAACAUCACCUCUAGCAUUACCAGUAUUAGAGGCACUGCCUACCCAGUGACAUAUGUUCAACUGCCACGGUAUCCUGACCGUGCAAAGGUAGCAUAAUCACUUGUUCCCUAAAUAGGGACUUGUACGAAUUGCUACACGAGGGUUCAGCUGUCUCUUACUUUUAAUCAGUGAAAUUGACCUAUCUGUGAAGAGGUGGAUAUAAAAAAAUAAGACGAGAAGACCCUAUGGAGCUUUAAUUCAUUAAUACAAAUAAAAACUCAAACAAGCCAACAGGCCCUAGCCUACUAUCCCUGCAUUAAAAAUGUUGUUUGGGGUGACCCCGGAGCAUACUUCAACCUCCAAACAACGUAAACUAAGACCUCACUAGUCUAAGCGAGUUAACAUACAUUGAUUCAAUUAAUUUGAUGAACGGAAUAAGUUAUCCUAGGGAUAACAGCACAAUCCUAUUCUAGAGUCCAUAUCAACAAUAAGGUUUACGACCUCGAUGUUGGAUCAGGACAUCCUAAUGGUGUAGCUGCUAUUAAGGGUUCGUUUGUUCAAUGAUUAAAGUCCUACCUGAUCUGAGGUCAGACUGGAGUAAUCCAGUUUGGUUUCUAUCUAUUUAACAUUUCUCCUAG
rnacentral:rRNA from 2 species